AUUUUGUUCAUUUUCAUGGUUUCCUCCUUUCUGUUGAAAUUGUCCACAUGCUUGUCAACAGAAAGGAGGAAACCAUGAAAAUGAACAAAA
rnacentral:pre_miRNA from 1 species